UCCCUGGUGGCUCAGAUGGUAAAGCAUCUGCUUGCAAUGCAGGAGACCCAGGUUCCAUCUCUGGGUGGGGAA
rnacentral:tRNA from 1 species